UAAUUUAAAUGCCAAAUUAGAGUUUUGACCCCAAUUUUACGGUUCACUGAACAUAGAAAAUGAUAGUGCAAAUUUCAGGUUAAAGUUUUUGGUCAAGGUAGUUUUUGAUGAAGUUGAAGUCCAAUCAACUUGAAACUUAGUAUACAUGUGCCCUAUGAUAUGAUCUUUCUAAUUUAAAUGCCAAAUUAGAGUUUUGACCCCAAUUUUACGGUUCACUGAACAUAGAAAAUGAUAGUGCAAAUUUCAGGUUAAAGUUUUUGGCUUCAGGUUAAAGUUUUUGGUCAAGGUAGUUUUUGAUGAAGUUGAAGUCCAAUCAACUUGAAACUUAGUAUACAUGUGCCCUAUGAUAUGAUCUUUCUAAUUUAAAUGCCAAAUUAGAGUUUUGACCCCAAUUUUACGGUUCACUGAACAUAGAAAAUGAUAGUGCAAAUUUCAGGUUAAAGUUUUUGGUCAAGGUAGUUUUUGAUAAAGUAGAAGUCCAAUCAACUUGAAACUUAGUAUACAUGUUCCCUUUGAUAAGAUCAUUCUAAUUUUAAUGCCAAAUUAGAGAAUUUAUUCCAAUUUCACAGUCCUUUAAACAUAGAAAAUGAUAGUGCGAGUGGGGCAUCCGUGUACUGUGGACACAUUCUUGUUUUUUAUAAUUU
rnacentral:lncRNA from 1 species